rnacentral:rRNA from 1 species
ACGGAGGGGGUUAGCGUUGUUCGGAAUUACUGGGCGUAAAGCGUACGUAGGCGGAUUAGAAAGUAUGGGGUGAAAUCCCAGGGCUCAACCCUGGAACUGCCUCAUAAACUUCUAGUCUAGAGUUCGAGAGAGGUGAGUAGAAUUCCGAGUGUAGAGGUGAAAUUCGUAGAUAUUCGGAGGAAUACCAGUGGCGAAGGCGGCUCACUGGCUCGAUACUGACGCUGAGGUACGAAAGUGUGGGGAGCAAACAGG